CCUACGGUGGCAGCAGUGGGGAAUAUUGGACAAUGGGCGAAAGCCUGAUCCAGCCAUGCCGCGUGUGUGAAGAAGGCCUUCGGGUUGUAAAGCACUUUCAGUGGGGAAGAAAGCCUUGGGGCUAAUACCCUCGAGGAAGGACAUCACCCACAGAAGAAGCACCGGCUAACUCCGUGCCAGCAGCCGCGGUAAUACGGAGGGUGCGAGCGUUAAUCGCAAUUACUGGGCGUAAAGCGCGCGUAGGCGGUCUGAUAAGCCGGUUGUGAAAGCCCCGGGCUCAACCUGGGAACGGCAUCCGGAACUGUCAGGCUAGAGUGCAGGAGAGGAAGGUAGAAUUCCCGGUGUAGCGGUGAAAUGCGUAGAGAUCGGGAGGAAUACCAGUGGCGAAGGCGGCCUUCUGGACUGACACUGACGCUGAGGUGCGAAAGCGUGGGUAGCAAACAGGAUUAGAUACCCGUGUAGUC
rnacentral:rRNA from 1 species